rnacentral:rRNA from 1 species
GAAUCUUGCGCAAUGGGCGAAAGCCUGACGCAGCAACGCCGCGUGGGGGAUGAAGGCCUUCGGGUUGUAAACCCCUUUCAGGAGGGAAGAAAUUGACGGUACCUCCAAAAGAAGCCCCGGCCAACUACGUGCCAGCAGCCGCGGUAAUACGUAGGGGGCGAGCGUUGUCCGGAAUCAUUGGGCGUAAAGAGCUCGUAGGCGGUUCAGUAAGUCGGCUGUGAAAUUCCGAGGCUCAUCCUCGGAACUGCAGUCGAAACUAUUGUGACUCGAGUCCGGUAGAGGAGAAUGGAAUUCCCGGUGUAGCGGUGAAAUGCGCAGAUAUCGGGAGGAACACCAGUAGCGAAGGCGGUUCUCUGGGCCGGUACUGACGCUGAGGAGCGAAAGCGUGGGGAGCAAACAGG